UUGAUAAAAUUAUAUCAACCUUACAUUUAACGGUAAUUUACAUUAAAUACAUGCCUUAUAUAAGGUGUAUAUACAUUUUGAGUAAUGUAUGGCAAUAUAUAACAAGGUAAAGUCAAUGUUGUUUAAGUCCACCGAUAUAAAUUGUCUGUAUCCUCACUAUAAUAUUUGAGGAGUUUGAGUCUCCGUCCUCAUGUAUCUAACACUAAGUAUGACCACAACACGUCAUCCUUCUGUAUACCUACUACUCACUAUCGUCCUUUGUUUGUGUGAAGUGUUUUAUGUACUUCCCCGCUCCAUUGUUCUAUUGUUUUCCUUGUCUGGUCAGCAAUAACAAUAUUACCCUUACUGUCAAAUAGAACUGUAUGAGGACCAAACGUAUCUGGUGUGAUCGACUCCUGUACCUGUUUCCUCCCCCCCGGUAGUUGACUAGGGAAUGGAGUGUUGGGUUGUACACAAUGAUACGUUUAUAAUCCACUACGACAGCUAUGUUACCUGUAACACUACAUUGUGUUAUUGACCGUACUCCCCAUACCCCCUCCACAAUGGCUGUAUGUAACGCCUGACAGUCUACUGUGUACAUCACCACAUUGUCCCCCUGUCUAUUCACUGUACCCACCACUACCCGAUUAGACCCUCCCUGGUCACACAGACUGUAUGGGCGACCCUCUGUAAUGAACCUUGUGACUGGUGUAGAUAAUUCACAGAUAAUCCUCUCCAUACAACUAUAAUAUUUUAUCAAGAAAUCGUAUCCUACGCUAGCACAUAUUUCAAUAAUAUUAUAUUUCAUGGCUUUUCAUGAAAUCUGAAUACUGAAAUAUACAUUUAUAUUGUGAUUUAUUCGACUCUUUGCUAUUGUCAUAUAACAUUUCAGCUCACUUGUCCAAAUGGAACUCAAUGCAAAGGGCUUCCCAACAACUCCGGUGGCCACCUGAGUGGACGUGAAACGGUCAGCUCCUGAUAAUAUAAUAUGGUCUAGUCCUACUUGGCUCACCAUGAGUUGCUUGGUUUUCAUCACAGCAUGAUUACUUUCCUUGGAUAAUGGUCAACUACUUAAGCCGGACCUAGAUGAAUCCUUAACGGACACUGAUAUGUGCUAAAUGCGGUAACUGGGAAACAAAGUUCAGGGAGGAGACACGAAAAGUAGAUGUUCUCAAAUGCAAACUGUCCGAGGCAUUCAAGGAAAUUCAAAAGUAAAAAGAAGAAAAGCAAUGCGAAACCUCUGAUUCUGGCAAUGCGAAACCUCUGAUUCUGCAAAUCUAUUGGCUUUGCCAAAACCUGGAGUUCUGAUGGAUGAUCUUGCGAGCAAACACAAGAUGGUAGAGCUGCAGGUUGGUACAUCUGUGUACCUUUAUGGGCACGACCUUACGGAAAUACAGAAGAUAUCAGACCCAUCAAAGAUUGGCGCCUCGACACAUGGAUGCCGGAUGGCGAAGUAACUUAUGAACAAGUUCUGGUCAAAGUCGGAUUUACUUGGAGUAACUAUUUCCACCAAUGGCCACCUAGGAAAGAAAGUCCUCGACCAAAGGAUUGUGAAUGCCAUCAAAGCAUAUUGUGUUACCAAGACUGUGGCAACAGCAGGACAGAUCAGACAAGACAUGGCCAGCAAGAUAUCUUCACUGAACGCAAAGUGAACCCAAAAUUUGUGAAUGCCAAAAAUCUAUGAACUUUCAUAUCUAGUGUUUAAUACUUAGCACAUGACAUUGGUGCAUGAGUAAAACAGUUUAAUUUGUUAAUAUGUAUGUUAAGUUUUAAAUCUAAAGAUAUUUUGAUUAUUAUUUUAGAAUGAUUUGUGUUACAUUACAUCCAUAUCCAGUGUCAAAAACCCGAGUACAUGACGCAUUGUAUAGUUUUAUUUAUUUGUGUUGAGUUUGGGGGAAAUAGUAGUAGGCUAAUGACCAUGGAUAAUUUAAAGAUAUUUUGUUAAUUUUAAAAUAAUUCGUAAUGCAUUAAGAUUUAUUUCACAUCUAGUAUUUAAAACCUAUGUUGAGUUUUGAGAAGAUGUUUCAACAUUUUAGGAUAUUCUUUUAUUUGAUUUAGAAUGAAUUAAAUGUUUUUAUUAGAAAAAAGUAUUAU